UUAAAUACUGAUCUUCUAGUUGUGAUUACGUCCGCGAUUGCCUCAACGUGUUUGUUGGGAAUGUUGUUCGUAAGGAAGCCACUUUUCUUCCGUAAUAAGAAUUCGCGGCCGGAGCAGUAUCAGCG